UCUGGUGGCGCGUGCCUGUAGUCCCAGCUACUCGGGAGGCUGAGGUGGGAGGAUUGCUUGAGCCCAGGAGUUCUGGGCUGUAGUGCGCUAUGCCGAUCUGGUGUCCGCACUAAGUUUGGGAUCAACAGCGGGGGACCACCAGGUUGCCUAAGGAGGGGUGAACCGGCCCAGGUCGGAAGCGGAGCAGAUCGAAACUCCCGCGCUGAUCAGUAGUGGGAUCAUGCCUGUGAAUAGCCACUGCACUGCAGCCUGGGCAACAGAGCAAGACUCUGUCUCA
rnacentral:SRP_RNA from 1 species